CUCCUUCCUCAGUAUUAACGCUUUCUCCUAAUACUUUAAAUUGAUCAAACUCUCCAAAACAAUUCCUCUUUUUUUCAGAGGUUCAAUUUUGUUAUUCCCAAUUUGAAAGAAUGGAUGCGAAUUAGAUGACGUCCUUUGCCUAUCCUAAGGAUCCUAAGAUUGCACACAAUUAAAAUCGAUUGAUUUGCGAAGGUGAUCCUUUCAACCAAUUUGGAGCUUUAGAGGUCAAGGAUUUAGCUGAAGAAGAAGCUUGGAAAAGUAGCAGAAAAAGGACACUGACGGUCAAACUGACGACCGUCAGCCAAGCGACGGCCUAUCAGGGUGACCAUUAAAGUUAAACAGAAUGGACCAAGUAGAUGUCUCCUGCAAUGGUCUAAGUGAUGGAUCGUCGGACCUCUGACGGACUGCCAACUUGGCCGUCAAGCUGAAACAGUGAGUGUCAUCUCAAGUAAUCAAGCGACAGCUCAUAUGAUGGACCGUCAUGCAAGUGAUGAAUCGUCAAGUUGGCCAUCACACCUUAACCAGAAAGUAGCAGCUUGGGACUAUCAGCGACAGUUCAAGUGAGGGCCUUCAACAUGACCGUCAACUUCGACGCGACAUUAAUGAGUUUGAAUUUCAAAUCUCCAGUACCUGGGAACAUAUAAAUACCCAUUUUAGGUUUUAUUUAGGUAUCUUUUAUCAUAUUUUUACCUUGAAAAACCUAUUGUAACACAUUAUUCUCUGAGAUUCAAGCUAGUA